CUAUGCUGCCGAGAAAAGCCUCUAGUGAGUGUCGUGGCGGCCCGUACCCCAAACCGACUCAGGUGGUCAGGUAGAGAAUACCAAGGCGAUCGGGUGAACUGUGGUUAAGGAACUCGGCAAAUUGCCCCCGUAACUUCGGGAGAAGGGGGGCCUCCGCUGGUGAUCAGACUUGCUUUGUGAGCUGGUGGGGGUCGCAGAGGCCAGGGGGAAGCGACUGUUUACUAAAAACACAGGUCCGUGCGAAGUCGUAAGACGAUGUAUACGGACUGACGCCUGCCCGGUGCUGGAACGUUAAGGGGACCGGUUAGCGCAUCUUCGGGUGUGCGAGGCUGAGAACUUAAGCGCCAGUAAACGGCGGUGGUAACUAUAACCAUCCUAAGGUAGCGAAAUUCCUUGUCGGGUAAGUUCCGACCUGCACGAAUGGCGUAACGACUUCCCCGCUGUCUCAACCGCAGACCCGGCGAAAUUGCACUACGAGUAAAGAUGCUCGUUACGCGCAGCAGGACGGAAAGACCCCGGGACCUUCACUACAGCUUGACAUUGGCGUUUGGAACGUCUUGUGUAGGAUAGGUGGGAGACUGUGAAGCUGUCACGCUAGUGGUGGUGGAGUCAUUGGUGAAAUACCACUCUGGUCGUUUUGAACGUCUAACUUCGGUCCGUGAUCCGGAUCAGGGACAGUGUCUGGUGGGUAGUUUAACAGGGGCGGUUGCCUCCUAAAGAGUAACGGAGGCGCCCAAAGGUUCCCUCAGCCUGGUUGGUAAUCAGGUGUCGAGUGUAAGUGCACAAGGGAGCUUGACUGUGAGACCGACGGGUCGAGCAGGAGCGAAAGCUGGGACUAGUGAUCCGGCGGUGGCAUGUGGAAGCGCCGUCGCUCAACGGCUAAAAGGUACCCCGGGGAUAACAGGCUGAUCUUCCCCAAGAGUCCAUAUCGACGGGAUGGUUUGGCACCUCGAUGUCGGCUCGUCGCAUCCUGGGGCUGGAGUAGGUCCCAAGGGUUGGGCUGUUCGCCCAUUAAAGCGGUACGCGAGCUGGGUUUAGAACGUCGCGAGACAGUUCGGUCCCUAUCCGCUGCGCGCGCAGGAGACUUGAAAGGAGCUGUCCCUAGUACGAGAGGACCGGGACGGACGAACCUCUGGUGUGCCAGUUGUUCCGCCAGGAGCAUGGCUGGUUGGCUACGUUCGGAAGGGAUAACCGCUGAAAGCAUCUAAGCGGGAAGCUCGCCUUGAGAUGAGGUCUCCCACCACGAGAGUGGGUAAGGCCCCCGGGAGACGACCGGGUUGAUAGGCCGGAGGUGGAAGCAUGGUAACGUGUGGAGCUGACCGGUACUAAUAGGCCGAGGACUUGACCAC
rnacentral:rRNA from 1 species